rnacentral:lncRNA from 1 species
UGUGGACACUGACCUAGCUGGUCUCAAAGGCCUCUUUCAAUUUUAACAUUCCCCCAUUCCAUUGACUAACACAGAGAUACUUUUAUUGCAGAAGUGCUUCGGUCAGGCAGUAUCUUUGAAAAUAAUUUGGCCAAUGAAAGCCCUGGCAUUGGAUGAAAGUGCUAGCUGCUGGGAAUGCUACCCCUCCUUUUGGUUCUCUUUCAAGUCCUUCAGGUUCAAACAAUACAGAAGUGUAUAAAGUAAGAAUUGAAAGUCUCUUCGCUGCUCUAAUCUCACUCCUCAGAGGUGAUCACUGUGUGGAAGAUGAUCAAAGUAUGACAUUUCUUCUACCCCAGAGGCUGGCAUUUCUGCAGGCACAAAUGAGCUUGGUUUUCAAGCACUGCUCUUUGAACACAAGGAAUUCCUUUAAUGAUCACGCCGGACUAUAUAGACUUUGGAAUCAGACUCUUUGAAUUCCAGCUCUGCCAUUUACCAACUUUGACACUUUGGACAACGUCUCAUUCUGUCACCCAGGCUGGAGUGCAGUGGCACAAUUAUAGCUCACUGCAGCCUCAAACACCUGGGCUCAAGCAAUCCUUCCACCUCUGCCUCCUGAGUAAUUGGGACUACAGGCAUGUGCCACCACACCCAGCUAAUUUUUAAUUUUUAAUUUUUUUGUAGAGAUGGCGGUCUUGCUAUGUCACCCAGGCUGGUCUUGAACACCUGGCCUCAAGUGAUCCUCCGGCCUUGGUCUCUCAAAGCUCUGGGAUUACAGACAUGAGCCACUGCACCCGGCUCUAUCUCCCCUUCCUAUGUGUGUUAGCUCUAGAACAAGAGAAGCCUUGUUGAGAUUCCUGGCUGCCCACCCCCCAUCACCUCUCUGACUUUGGGCAAGUUGCCUGGCCUCUCUCAGCCUUUAUUUUCUUUUUGUGAAAUGGGGAUAAUAAUAGUACUUGCCUCAUAGGCAAAAUGUUGUGAGAACUAAACGAGAAAAUGCAUGUAAAGCACUUGGCACUUAGUUCUUUUUAUGAUUAUAAUGAUAAUCAGACACAAUAAAUUAUGUCUCACAUCACAUGCUGUUUAGCCUAUUCACUGUUCUAUUUUUCCUGAAGUCAGUUCAGUGUGUAGCAUCCAGAAUUGAACAAAACACCCCCGAUGUGACCUGAUAGUGCAAAGUAAACUAUCAUCUCCUUCAUUCUAGGUAUUAUGUUUCUAUUAAUGCAGUCUAAAGGGUUUUGGAAAUCUGGAUUGUAGCAGGGCAUUGUAAGUUAAAAAAUCAUCUUCCCAUUCUGUUCUUUGCAAAGAUAUUUCUGUUCCUUAAAUUUGUUGAGGGUAAGAGAUUGCAGAUUGCUUCUGUGGACUUCUUGAAGGUAAGUAUUAUUUCUUGAUAUUUGUAUCUCCAGUGUCUGGCACAAUGCUUGGGGGUGAGGAAGAACUCAAUAAAUGUUUGUUGGAUGAAUAAGUAAUAUUUGUGAAAG